CUUAAAUACCAAACAAUUACACAAACCCUUAUUAACUAUUGGAUGAUUCCAUUAUCUAUGGAAGCCACUAUGCUUGAACUAGUAACAAGAAUUUGACUUUCUCCUUAAUAUUCCUGUAAGCCGCAACAGACAAACUAACGGCAAUCAACGCCAAUAAACCAACUACAACAACCCACUAGAAAAACUUAUAAAACAUAGCGUUACCCUUACACAAGUAUAUUCCAGGAAAGAUUAAAAAAAAGAGAAGGAACUCGGCAAACCCCAGCCCCGCCUGUUUACCAAAAACAUCGCCUCUUGCUUAAACAUAAGAGGUCCAGCCUGCCCAGUGAAUAUUAAACGGCCGCGGUACCCUAACCGUGCUAAGGUAGCACAAUUACUUGUCCUUUAAAUGGGGACUAGAAUGAAGGGCAUCACGAGGGCUGCACUGUCUCCUCUUUUUAAUCAGUGAAACUGACCUUCCCGUGAAAAGGCGGGGAUUAAAAUAUUAGACGAGAAGACCCCAUGGAGCUUUAGACACAAGUAAAUCUAAGCCCCUCUCCACCCAAGCUUAUGACUAUUAACUUAAGUCUUCGGUUGGGGCAACCAUGGAGUAAAAAUUAACCUCCACACCGAAUGGAUUAUUCCUCAUUCAAGAACCACCAAUCUAAAAAACAGAAUACUGACGCUAACUGAUCCGGAACCCGAUCAAUGAACCAAGUUACCCUGGGGAUAACAGCGCUAUCUACCUCGAGAGCCCCUAUCGACAGGUAGGUUUACGACCUCGAUGUUGGAUCAGGGUAUCCUAGUGGUGCAGCCGCUACAUAAGGUUC
rnacentral:rRNA from 1 species